GGAAUGCAGCUUGCUGCUUUGCUGUACUCAUGGACUGGACGGCGGAGUAAUGUCUGGCAAUUGAUCCGAAUCUAGGGGAUAACUACUGGAAACGGUAGCUAAUACCGCAUAAUGUCGCAAGACCAAAGAGGGGGACCUUCGGGCCUCUUGCCAUCGGAUGUGCCCAGAUGGGAUUAGCUUGUUGGUGAGGUAACGGCUCACCAAGGCGACGAUCCCUAGCUGGUCUGAGAGGAUGACCAGCCACACUGGAACUGAGACACGGUCCAGACUCCUACGGGAGGCAGCAGUGGGGAAUAUUGCACAAUGGGCGCAAGCCUGAUGCAGCCAUGCCGCGUGUAUGAAGAAGGCCUUCGGGUUGUAAAGUACUUUCAGCGGGGAGGAAGGGGUUAAGGUUAAUAACCUUAGCCAUUGACGUUACCCGCAGAAAAAGCACCGGCUAACUCCGUGCCAGCAGCCGCGGUAAUACGGAGGGUGCAAGCGUUAAUCGGAAUUACUGGGCGUAAAGCGCACGCAGGCGGUCUGUCAAGUCGGAUGUGAAAUCCCCGGGCUCAACCUGGGAACUGCAUUCGAAACUGGCAGGCUUGAGUCUCGUAGAGGGGGGUAGAAUUCCAGGUGUAGCGGUGAAAUGCGUAGAGAUCUGGAGGAAUACCGGUGGCGAAGGCGGCCCCCUGGACAAAGACUGACGCUCAGGUGCGAAAGCGUGGGGAGCAAACAGGAUUAAAUACCCUGGUAGUUCACGCCGUAAACGAUGUCUAUUUGGAGGUUGUGCCCUUGAGGCGUGGCUUCCGGAACUAACGCGUUAAAUAAACCGCCUGGGGAGUACGGCCGCAAGGUUAAAACUCAAAUAAAUUGACGGGCCCCCACACGUGAACAUUGUUAAUUUCAAUCACC
rnacentral:rRNA from 1 species